rnacentral:rRNA from 1 species
AGCAGCCGCGGUAAUUCCAGCUCCAAUAGCGUAUAUUAAAGUUGUUGCAGUUAAAAAGCUCGUAGUUGAAUUUCGGGAUUGACGUGAUGGUCGUGCCUUAAGGGGUAUGAACUGUUGCUGUUGAUUUCUCACCUUCUGGAGAAACUUGAUGUCCUUAAUUGGGUGUCUUGCGGAUCCAGGACCUUUACCUUGAAAAAAUUAGAGUGUUUAAAGCAGGCAUUUUGCUCGAAUACAUUAGCAUGGAAUAAUAGAAUAGGACGGCAUGGUUCUACUUUGUUGGUUUCUAGGAUCACCGUAAUGAUUAAUAGGGAUAGUUGGGGGCAUUAGUAUUCAAUUGUCAGAGGUGAAAUUCUUGGAUUUAUUGAAGACUAACUACUGCGAAAGCAUUUGCCAAGGAUGUUUUCAUUAAUCAAGAACGAAAGUUAGGGGAUCGAAGACGAUCAGAUACCG